GUUGCUCGCAACAGGUGAAGAUCUCGACAACAUGAUGUUUGUGAUGGGGCCUCGGUAUUUCAUGGAGGUGAAUUGUGAUUUGGUUUUUUAGAGAAUCUGUUCAUAUGGCAAAGUGCACAGAGGAGAACAACACAACUAGUAUCACAGACCCAGCACAGGGUGGUACGAUGGGACAAUGAGGAGCAGCUUGGGUGUCUCAGGUUGCGGUCGGACAUUACAGUGCGGGACGGGAUCCGUCCAAAACCACUUAGAAUCUGUUCAUAUGGCAAAGUGCACAGAGGAGAACAACACAACUAGUAUCACAGACCCAGCACAGGGUGGUACGAUGGGACAAUGAGGAGCAGCUUGGGUGUCUCAGGUUGCGGUCGGACAUUACAGUGCGGGACGGGAUCCGUCCAAAACCACUUAGAAUCUGUUCAUAUGGCAAAGUGCACAGAGGAGAACAACACAACUAGUAUCACAGACCCAGCACAGGGUGGUACGAUGGGACAAUGAGGAGCAGCUUGGGUGUCUCAGGUUGCGGUCGGACAUAACAGUGCGGGACGGGAUCCGUCCAAAACCACUUAGAAUCUGUUCAUAUGGCAAAGUGCACAGAGGAGAACAACACAACUAGUAUCACAGACCCAGCACAGGGUGGUACGAUGGGACAAUGAGGAGCAGCUUGGGUGUUUCAGGUUGCGGUCGGACAUUACAGGGCGGGACGGGUGCUUUCCAAACCUACUCCUCACUGUGGGCGGUCAUAUGAGUCCCGGUAGCCAUUUAAAGCUUACCAUGUCUGAUUACCUAAUGCUCACUGACAAAUGUUAAGGAUACAUCUAGCCUGUUGUUUCACAAUAAAUCAGGUGGGUAUUUUUGAAAGACCUUGAGUUUCCUAGGAGGAGCCUCCCUUGUGUAUAAGAUUAGUUACAGACACCGGGCAGAUCUCAGUGUACACAUUGCAACUGGACCGUGAAUAUGAACCAAACACAGUUACAAUAUUUCUUAAAGCAACUACUAGGAAGCUAUUAACAGGAUACAAUGGCAGAAGAAUAUUUUGCUACCGGAAACUAUGGAUAUGGAGCACAUCACAUUGAUCACAACAUGGCAGACAAAUAUUUUGCUAAAGGCAACUAUGGACACAGGGCACAUCACAAUGAACAAGAAAUGCCAGAAAGAUAUUUUGCUACAGGCAACUAUGGAUAUGGAGUACAUCACGAUGAACACAAAAUGAAUCAAAGAACACAGGAGCAUAGAGGUAAAAAGGGACUAACACCCUCGCCUGUGCAUAACAUUCGCGAGAGAAUCCGUUGUGAAAGAGAGUCCAGUGGCCUGAGUGCUCCUGUUUAUAUGACACACCCACGCACCAUUGGUCCUCGUGAUGACUCUGCGUAUAAUAGAGACUGGGUUCAGCACAUUAGUCACGUAUCAAUGCCGCCACGUGAUACAGACGGUUCCACCUCUAGGCCAAUCUUUUCUGCUAGGAAAGCGAAGCGUGGUUUACCUAAAGCGUGGGUUUCACUACCAUCACGGGGUGGACAGUUCAACAGGUACCAUAACCCUAGGCACUAUCGCAUACGUAAUGACACCCACCAAGGGCAAGCCAGCGGCGCAAUGCGCGAGCACGAUAAACGCGAGAGGAGAGAACAACCCGAAAGAGCCCUUGCAGUACCCGACCGUGGUCCAAAUGUAUCCGGUAACGGGGGCUGUGUGUAUGACCAGGGCGAUCGCAUACGUAAUGACACCCACCAAGGGCAAGCCAGCGGCGUAAUGCGCGAGCACGAUAAACGCGAGAGGAGAGAACAACCCGAAAGAGCCCUUGCAGUACCCGACCGUGGUCCAAAUGUAUCCGGUAACGGGGGCUGUGUGUAUGACCAGGGCGAUCGCAUACGUAAUGACACCCACCAAGGGCAAGCC